rnacentral:rRNA from 1 species
AGUGAACGCUGGCGGCAGGCCUAACACAUGCAAGUCGAGCGGCAGCGCGUCCGACCACCCUCGGGUGGUCGGAUGGCGGCGAGCGGCGGACGGGUGAGGAAUGCAUCGGAAUCUGCCUCGUUGUGGGGGAUAACGUAGGGAAACUUACGCUAAUACCGCAUACGACCUACGGGUGAAAGUGGGGGACCUUCGGGCCUCACGCGAUGAGAUGAGCCGAUGCCGGAUUAGCUAGUUGGCGGGGUAAAGGCCCACCAAGGCGACGAUCCGUAGCUGGUCUGAGAGGAUGAUCAGCCACACUGGAGCUGAGACACGGUCCAGACUCCUACGGGAGGCAGCAGUGGGGAAUAUUGCGCAAUGGGGGAAACCCUGACGCAGCCACGCCGCGUGGGUGAUGAAGGCCCUCGGGUUGUAAAGCCCUGUCGGGGGGGACGAAUACUGACGGUACCCUCCAAGAAAGCACCGGCUAACUCCGUGCCAGCAGCCGCGGUAAU